GUCAAAGGUCUUGGUCAUCCUUGGAGAUUUUUCACCAUUUUGCAAAGAGUCUCUGCAAGACUUGGCUAGAGGCCAGCCUAGUUAAAUUAGUCCAGUGACAGCCCAGCAGCGUUACCUCAUCAAUCCUUGCCCAUGGAGGUUGCCAUGUCCGCAGUUGCAGGCGAACUUGUCAGCCGGUUCAUCUCCUUGCUGAUGAGCAAGUACCACUCCUCCAUCCAUGCACAAUCGAAGGAGCAGAAUCUGGCGAAGCGGUUGCGGCAUCUCCUGAUGCGCGUUGGCACCGUCGUCGAGGAGGCGGACGGGCGGUACAUAACCAACUCCGGGAUGUUGGCCCAGCUCAAGAUGCUCUCCGAGGCCAUGUAUGGAGGGUACCGUGUGCUGGACACCUUGAUGUACCGCGCCCUCCGAAACAGCGCGGGCUUCGACGAGGUUAGCAGCAACGACUCAUUCAACAGCCACUUGUAUUUAAUCAAGCGUUCUCGGAGGAUGGCCGACGGGGCCGGGUGCCUCGAGUCGGACGGUGCCUUGGAAAGCUUAGAAGCUGCUGCUGCUAACAUGACAGAAUUUGUUAUGCUUUUGGGUGGUUGCGAGCGCAUGUCGCGUAGGCCUUAUGACACUUACCUUUACACUGACAACUUCAUGUUCAGCCGGCAUGCUGAGAAGCAAAAGCUCUUGAGCUUCUUGUUGCAGCACAACGACCCUCCUGGUGGUGGUCAGGCAACGGCCGUUCUUCCGAUCAUAGGGGGCGCCAAAGUCGGGAAAAAAACUUUGGUUGCUCAUGCGUGUGGCGAUGAAAGAGUUCGCGCACGCUUUUCUUCUGUUUUGCACUUGAAUGGUGACAGCCUUUUGAGGCAUGGACGGACCAAGUUUGGGGUGAAGAUGUUGGUAGUUAUUGAGUUUGCUUCUGAUGUAGGUGAUGAUGACUGGAAAAGGUUUCACUCAUUGGUCACAAGAAUGGGCAGAGGAAGCAAGAUCAUCAUUGUAAGUAGACUUCAAAGAUUAGCCCGAUUUGGAUCGGUGAAACCGAUUUUCCUAAGUGCUAUGUCUUACGACGAGUUGAGAUACCUUUUCAAAACACUAUCCUUCGGGAGCGAGGACCCCGCAGAACAUCCACAGCUAGUACAAAUAGCAGAUGAAUUUGCCAAGAAUUUCCACGGUACAGAAGGUUCACUUGUCGCCACAAAUGCUUAUGCAGAUGUGUUGAGAAGGAAUCUGGAUGUUAAGUUUUGGCGUCGCAUAUUGGACAAGGGGAUGAGAAUGGUUAAAAGAAACCUUGCCAUUUACGGCAUGCACCCGAACACGCUUAUCUACCAUGGUCACCCAGUGGACAUAACGGACUUUGCUCUGCAUCCACUUAGAAUGACACCUUAUAGUGUUAGGUUUCCUGUCAGGGAGAAAUGGCCAAGUGUGACAUUUGGGGAUCUUAUAACAAAUCCUGGUAUUAGACCCAAAGGAGACUUCACUCUAGUUACAUGGGAAUCAAGGAUACCACCUCAUAGAUCAUUUCCUAAUUUUGUUACAAGUUGUGCUCAGGAUACACAUGAAGGUAGCCCCCUGUCAGGGAGGAAGCGACAAGGAGUGGCAAUCUAAUUUUUUGUGUGUAAUGUAACUCUUGUACUGUUAGAUACAUGACAAAUGGAUGUGUUAUAGACCAUUCAACUAAGUGUGUUAGAGAUCUCAAUGUUGUAUGCUGUACCAUCCAACAAUGGGCGGCCGCUCUUGGCCCCUGGCCCGUCAUGUGCAGGCAUAGUGUAUAUAAAGGGCAGCCCGGUGCAUGUAGCUCCCGCUUGCGCAGGGUCAUCAUUGCAAAUUUGCGAUCGUUUGUGUCCUCCCAAACUAGCAAAAAUGAGCAGUCCUCCAGGGAUCGAAAAGCACAGAGGCCAUCUUGCCAGGGAGGAAGGAAGGAAGGGAGCACAAAAAUGCAUUGACGGGGAGUGCCAACCUAAUUUUGUUUCAUAACUCACGGAAUGUAUCUCAUGUUGUAUUUUUUUAAUAGAUGUCAAAUGUAUGUAUUCACAUGGUCAUGGACAAACUGUUCUGAGU
rnacentral:rRNA from 1 species